AUGGAUUUACCACAAUUAGGACCCAUCCAUGACUGGAUAGCUCUUCAGAGGACACAUGAACGUUUAAUUAUGGAAGCUGGGCAGUUGGCAGAACCCACCAGCACUGAUGAUAUGAUUAACCUGAAUUACCUAUUGGCUGGGGGAAGCUAUGGUGCAUACCAGUUCAGCAAUACUUGUGUUAUAGACUCCAUUUUGGCUGGAAUUCAUGUUCUUGCCAAAAUGUAUCCCCAAAUUCGAGAUUUGUUCACGAGGGAUAACAAAAUCAAUGCGGUUAUACGUUUCCUAGACUUCGCCAAGGUCAAUGAGGCAAAGGCACUGUGGCUUAUUAACUUGAGCCUUCGUAAGGAAAAAAACCUCAUGCAAAAUGAAUUUGUAGAUAUCAGAGGUUAUGUUAGAGACCACUUGUCAAACUUCAUUGAGCUGGUAUGUGCCAGCUUCGACUAUGAUGACUCGCAAUCAAGCUCCACACCAUGUGACACAGUUCUCAACAACAUAUUGAGGAAGUUUGAGGAUUACGGUGAGGUAAAACCCUUAGGCACUUCUCGUCAUGAACCCAAACUCAUCCUGGUAGACAUUGAUGACCGGAUGUGUAUCCUACCUCCCCUCUCCAUCACGGAUGAUUAUGAAAGGACAUACGAGCUCCAGUUCCUGCUGAUGGGACAGAGUACACCCCUGUCCAACCACAUGGUCCUGUUCCUGUGCACUCAACUGACUGGCAGAUGGAUGAUCUAUGACAACAUGAAAACACCCCUGGUCCAGGACAUUGGUCACUCCCUGGCUUAAUGGUCCACAGGCUCGCCUCGUUGGGGAAGGAAGUCCAUAUAAGGAUCGGGGGUGGAGCCAGGUAAGGUAUCUCCCUUCAAUCAUCACUCCCCUCACCUCUCCUUGCCGUCAGCCACAAUUUGUGUUACUUUUUGUCUGAUUAGAUUUUUUUACUUGAGUUUAUUUAGUAAAUAUUUUAUUAACUAUAUUUCUUGAACUGCAUGGUUGGUUAAGGGCUUGUAAGUAAGCAUUUCAAGGUAAGGUCUACACCAGUUGUAUUCGGCGUAUGUGACAAAUAACAUUUGAUUUGAUUUGAAACCUUCUUCCAUCCCCUUUCUCUGGCUUAGCUAGCCACUGGUUACACUUUAUCUAGCUAGUUAGCAGAGCAGAAUAUCAAAACAUGAUUUUGUAUUACUUAGCCUAGAUAAUUGUUUGUACAGUAUGUCAACUUUGGUGUCUAUUUCAGACCGUAUGGCAUUUAAGGAUGAGCAUAAGAGCAUUAAAAGGGGAGAAGAGCACUAUAAGACUGGCCAUGUAGAGAAGUACAGCGAUAGUGAGGGGCAAUUUACUGGUUUGGUCAGUGCCAGCAUGAGGGAUAUAUGAUUGAUACAAUAUGCCAAGUGAUACAAUCCCAAGUUAUCAAGUAAAAGAAAAAUUGCACUUGUGAAAAUUACAAUUCAUAAAAUAUUCUACAGCUGUAAUGUCAUCAAUCAAAUCAAAUGUAAUUUAUACAGCACAUUUCUUACAACAAAUGCAUUUCAAGGUGUUCACAGCCAUGCAUUGAAAGGCAUGUGUGACUUAACAUCCUUCCUCUUGGCAGGUCUCUAUAGGUGACCAGGAGAUUCUCUCUACCACAUGCAAAUUCCUCCGUGCAGAUCAUAUGUGUAGCCAUGCAUGCUAUUUUGGCGGUUCACAACAUUGGCCAUACAGAUGUGGAAUGUGAGUGGAGAAAGCCAGCCGUGCCCAGCCAGGUGCAGACAGUUAGUGAAGGACCUGUACCCGGCUGAAGACUACAACCCUCUGUCCCGAGAGCCUACUGAUGAGGAUCUUCAGUGGCUAAGAAGCCAUCUCCGGGCCAGGUUCAGUGGAAUGGCAAGUCUCCUUGAACAACCGCUACCCUCCUUGUUGUCCCUGUCUAUCUCGGACAUUGUUGAAAAACAAGGGCACCUGGGGCAUGCAGGCAUCCUGGCUGGCAUGGUGCUGUCGGUGGAGCAGCAGGAGGCUACACAGCAGGCAACAGUUGGACAGCGCACCAACCCCAACUGGCACACCAUUUAGGAGAGGGAGGUUGAAGACCAUCCUCACUGGAACAAGGUCAGCUCCACAUCACUGGAAGGGACACCUGCUUCUUCGUUGUGUAGACCACCAAAGACUCCAUCACCGUCCCCAUCCAGCCUGACAACCUCUGACAAACUCAUAUUGUUCCUCCUGUCGGUGCCUGUUUUCAGGGAAGCUAAUGUUCCAAAUAUAUUCCACAUAGUUCAUACACACACUAGGCUCCCAGAAAAGGUUAUAUUACAUACAAGUUUUGCUCAAAGCAGCCAACUAAAGUAACAUAGUUAACUUCAUGGGCACAGUGGGAAUUUAUAUCUAUGAUGUUCAAAUGAUUUCUUACUUCCUGUGUCUUACUUGCUGAAGGCCCCAGUCAUCACUGCCUGUACCUGACAUUGUUGAAAAAUACAUGAACAAUUAAUAAAGAUUAUACACAAACAAUAGGCUCCUAGAAUAGGUUAAAUUUCAUUCAAGUUUUUCUGAAAGCAGCCAACUAAAGUAAUUAGUUAACUAACGUAAGGCUGGUCUGAGUUCAUCUCCACACAUUCAGUAGUACAACACAAUUCACAUUGCAUUUUAUCAUGGGCACAGUGGUAAUUAUUAUCUGUGAUGUUUAAAUGAUGUCUUAGACAAACCAAGAGGUGUAAUGGGUUUGCAAAAAUAUCUUGCAUAAAGCUUACUUCUUUAUUCAAAGUUGUAUAUUUUUUCUGCACCAGGGAUAGUGUACACAGACGUUUCGGCUGUACAGCGUUCUUCAAUGUGUAGGUACAAUUUUCUUUAAUUCAAAACAGCCUUUGUAAAGAACAGAUGAGCAUCAGGUACUUCUAAUCAGGGUUGCCACUCAUCUGCCAAUCAGGUCUACCUGUA
ensembl:lncRNA